UACGGAGGAUUCGAGCGUUAUCCGGAAUUAUUGGGUUUAAAGGGUGCGUAGGCGGAUGGGUAAGUCAGCUGUGAAAGCUUACGGCUCAACCGUGAAAUUGCAGUUGAUACUGUUGGACUUGAGUAUACAUGAGGUGGGCGGAAUUUCUGGUGUAGCGGUGAAAUGCUUAGAUAUCACAAAGAACUCCAGUUGCGAAGGCAGCUCACUGGGGUAUAACUGACGCUGAGGCACGAAAGUGUGGGUAUCAAACAGG
rnacentral:rRNA from 1 species